rnacentral:other from 1 species
CUUCCCCUGCCUUGUUGGUGAUCCGCAGUAAGUUUCGAGCCAACAUAGGCAUCUAGGGUGACUCCGCUGACCCUGAAAAGAGAAUUCGGAUUCGCGAAAUUCCUUGCAGGGGUUAUGAGAUUCGCCCACCUAACAAGGUUAGGUUCGAUGUCACUGCUGACACGGCACGGCGGGGGAGUU